UACGGAGGGAGCAAGCGUUAUCCGGAUUCACUGGGUUUAAAGGGUGCGCAGGCGGGUUAGUAAGUCAGUGGUGAAAGGCUUAAGCUUAACUUGGGAACUGCCAUUGAUACUAUCAGUCUUGAAUGUUGUUGAGGUUUGCGGAAUGGGUCAUGUAGCGGUGAAAUGCAUAGAUAUGACCCGGAACACCUAUUGCGAAGGCAGCAUGCUAAACAAAUAUUGACGCUGAGGCUCGAAAGCGUGGGGAUCAAACCGG
rnacentral:rRNA from 1 species